ensembl:lncRNA
CUGAAACCAGGAACGAGAGACUUUAGAGAUCAAGUUUCCAACACUCAAGCCUUCCGGACCCAGGAAAAUCACCCCAGCCCUCAUGAGCCUGGAGGUCACACCUGGCACUGAGGGCCACCCAGUCUUCCUGGCCCCUCCAGCAUGUGUCUGGAGUCCCCUCCAACCUCUGUAGCCGGGGAUCCCCUUGAGGGGCAGCUGCCCACCCCUGCCUGAGCCAACACCUGCUGCCCAGCUCCCGGUGGCAUCCUGGUCCCCACUGAGAAGCAAGGGGCCCUGAGCAGCCCCCAUGCACACAGUUGGUGCUCAGCCAAGGCUGCUUCAGUGCCUCCCUGUGUCCUCAGACCAGUGCCCUGCCCAGGUCAGUCCCAACCCUGGCUCCUCACUCUGGGUAAACUGCAGCAAGGUGCACACCCGGAAAAGCACCCUGAAUGCAGUGGUGGCUGCCUUCAGCAGCGUGGCGCCUCCUGCUUGCCUUGGAGUAUUUCACUUCUUUUGGCCUUUCAUCACUGACCACCCUUACAUAACUUACGACUCGCAAAGUCAUUUCUGUUACACAGAAGACUUCACGGCUGAUGUUCAAGAUCAAACACCAGGGAUGAUACAGGAAAAUCGAAUCAUUGGAUAAUAAGAUCAAUUUGGAAGACA